rnacentral:rRNA from 1 species
ACUCCUACGGGAGGCAGCAGUGGGGAAUAUUGGACAAUGGGCGCAAGCCUGAUCCAGCCAUGCCGCCGUGAGUGAUGAAGGCCUUAGGGUUGUAAAGCUCUUUUGUUCCGGGACGAUAAUGACGGUACCGGAAGAAUAAGCCCCGGCCUAACUUCGUGCCAGCAGCCGCGGUAAUACGAAGGGGGCGUAGCGUUGCUCGGAAUCACUGGGCGUAAAGGGCGCGUAGGCGGCCUUGUAAGUUGGGGGUGAAAGCCCGUGGCUCAACCACGGAAUUGCCUUCGAUACUGCUUGGCUUGAGUGUGGUAGAGGUUGGUGGAACUGCGAGUGUAGAGGUGAAAUUCGUAGAUAUUCGCAAGAACACCGGUGGCGAAGGCGGCCAACUGGACCAUCACUGACGCUGAGGCGCGAAAGCGUGGGGAGCAAACAGGAUUAGAUACCCUGGUAGGAUAGAG